ACUCCUACGGGAGGCAGCAGUGGGGAAUAUUGCACAAUGGGCGAAAGCCUGAUGCAGCAACGCCGCGUGAGGGAUGACGGCCUUCGGGUUGUAAACCUCUUUUAGUAGGGAAGAAGCGAAAGUGACGGUACCUGCAGAAAAAGCACCGGCUAACUACGUGCCAGCAGCCGCGGUAAUACGUAGGGUGCAAGCGUUGUCCGGAAUUAUUGGGCGUAAAGAGCUCGUAGGCGGUUUGUCGCGUCUGCUGUGAAAUCCCGAGGCUCAACCUCGGGCUUGCAGUGGGUACGGGCAGACUAGAGUGCGGUAGGGGAGAUUGGAAUUCCUGGUGUAGCGGUGGAAUGCGCAGAUAUCAGGAGGAACACCGAUGGCGAAGGCAGAUCUCUGGGCCGUAACUGACGCUGAGGAGCGAAAGCGUGGGGAGCGAACAGGAUUAGAUACCCUGGUAGUCCACGCCGUAAACGUUGGGCGCUAGAUGUAGGGACCUUUCCACGGUUUCUGUGUCGUAGCUAACGCAUUAAGCGCCCCGCCUGGGGAGUACGGCCGCAAGGCUAAAACUCAAAGGAAUUGACGG
rnacentral:rRNA from 1 species